rnacentral:lncRNA from 1 species
UACAUAACUUAAAAGAUAUGAAGUUCUUUUUCAUGCUUCUUUUAACUAUUAACUAAUCAUUGAUAGGAUUUUUGUAAGUAAUACAUGUAGAUAUGAGGCUAAUAUAGACAUUAAUCUCAAUUACUAAUCAUUAAUACUCAAUAAUGAGUGAAAAUACUACAUCAACUAAGAUAAUUGCUUCCAAGACUUACUAAGAUUCUAUUUUUGUAAAUUUUCUUCUAAUAAGACUUUUAUACUUAUAAAUACUUCUAAAUUAUAAUAAAUAUGUAAAUAGUGAAAAAGACUCUCUAACUUUAGUAUUUAUUUCAUUAAAUGACUCAAUACUAUAUUUUUAACCAAUCCACCAAUUAAGAUCCAUUGGUCGGACUCACACU